rnacentral:rRNA from 1 species
CGUGCCUAAUACAUGCAAGUCGAGCGAGCUUGCCUAGAUGAAUUUGGUGCUUGCACCAAAUGAAACUAGAUACAAGCGAGCGGCGGACGGGUGAGUAACACGUGGGUAACCUGCCCAAGAGACUGGGAUAACACCUGGAAACAGAUGCUAAUACCGGAUAACAACACUAGACGCAUGUCUAGAGUUUAAAAGAUGGUUCUGCUAUCACUCUUGGAUGGACCUGCGGUGCAUUAGCUAGUUGGUAAGGUAACGGCUUACCAAGGCAAUGAUGCAUAGCCGAGUUGAGAGACUGAUCGGCCACAUUGGGACUGAGACACGGCCCAAACUCCUACGGGAGGCAGCAGUAGGGAAUCUUCCACAAUGGACGCAAGUCUGAUGGAGCAACGCCGCGUGAGUGAAGAAGGGUUUCGGCUCGUAAAGCUCUGUUGGUAGUGAAGAAAGAUAGAGGUAGUAACUGGCCUUUAUUUGACGGUAAUUACUUAGAAAGUCACGGCUAACUACGUGCCAGCAGCCGCGGUAAUACGUAGGUGGCAAGCGUUGUCCGGAUUUAUUGGGCGUAAAGCGAGUGCAGGCGGUUCAAUAAGUCUGAUGUGAAAGCCUUCGGCUCAACCGGAGAAUUGCAUCAGAAACUGUUGAACUUGAGUGCAGAAGAGGAGAGUGGAACUCCAUGUGUAGCGGUGGAAUGCGUAGAUAUAUGGAAGAACACCAGUGGCGAAGGCGGCUCUCUGGUCUGCAACUGACGCUGAGGCUCGAAA